rnacentral:rRNA from 1 species
GAUGAACGCUGGCGGCGUGCCUAAUACAUGCAAGUCGAGCGAACAGACGAGGAGCUUGCUCCUCUGACGUUAGCGGCGGACGGGUGAGUAACACGUGGAUAACCUACCUAUAAGACUGGGAUAACUUCGGGAAACCGGAGCUAAUACCGGAUAAUAUAUUGAACCGCAUGGUUCAAUAGUGAAAGACGGUUUUGCUGUCACUUAUAGAUGGAUCCGCGCCGCAUUAGCUAGUUGGUAAGGUAACGGCUUACCAAGGCAACGAUGCGUAGCCGACCUGAGAGGGUGAUCGGCCAAACUGGAACUGAGACAAGGUCCAGACUCUUACGGGAGGCAGCAGUAGGGAAUCUUCCGCAAUGGGCGAAAGCCUGACGGAGCAACGCCGCGUGAGUGAUGAAGGUCUUCGGAUCGUAAAACUCUGUUAUUAGGGAAGAACAAAUGUGUAAGUAACUAUGCACGUCUUGACGGUACCUAAUCAGAAAGCCACGGCUAACUACGUG